UAACGCGAAGAACCUUACCUGGGCUUGAUAUCCUAAGAACCUUAUAGAGAUAUGAGGGUGCUAGCUUGCUAGAACUUAGAGACAGGUGCUGCACGGCUGUCGUUAGCUCGUGUCGUGAGAUGUUGGGUUAAGUCCCGCAACGAGCGCAACCCACGUAUUUAGUUGCUAACACUUCGGGUGAGCACUCUAAAUAGACUGCCUUCGUAAGGAGGAGGAAGGUGUGGACGACGUCAAGUCAUCAUGGCCCUUAUGCCCAGGGCGACACACGUGCUACAAUGGCAUAUACAAUGAGACGCAAUACCGCGAGGUGGAGCAAAUCUAUAAAAUAUGUCCCAGUUCGGAUUGUUCUCUGCAACUCGAGAGCAUGAAGCCGGAAUCGCUAGUAAUCGUAGAUCAGCCAUGCUACGGUGAAUA
rnacentral:rRNA from 1 species